ACAAGAGUCCUGAACUUGAAUGUUCCUGAAUGAGGGACACCUUUUGAAUGUGCCAGGAAAAAGGCAGCUGCUUGUGGUAUGACUGGACAGGAGAGAUUUCUAAUCUUAAUACAAUUUAUGAAUCAUGGUCAAUGCUACUCUGAGUCAAAAGACUUUACACGAGAGUUUGUGCUGCGUACAGCCUGCAUAUUCUUUACUUGAAAAAUCACUGUAUGGCAAAAACCUGACAUACUUUCUAGAUCAAAUACAGGAUUCAUAAAAGCUGGUAUUCUCUAUCAGCUUUAGAAGACACCUUCAAAAGUCAAGGAUGUGAUCUUUUACCAGUCUCUUCCUGAAGAAUGUUUCAACUAUAAAUUGUGUAAGCCUUUUAACUCUACUUGUAAUUCUGAUGGAAAUGGAAAUAAGUAGUUUUAUUAGCUUGAGUUUAAAAACAACUUAACUGCAAGAAAAGGGUUAUUUAUUCACACACAUGACACAGAAAAUGCUUUGGAUUAAAGUACUUUCAUUACAAAAGAGUUGGAAAGGUAAAAUAAAAUUAGGUUCAGCUAGAUCAUUUUAAUGUUUGAUUAUCACCCACUGAACUGGGAUAAAAAUUUUUGUGCCAGAACUGGUGAUAAUAGGGUUACAUACCCUCUGUAAAAUAAAAUGUGAAAUUUACAUGCAAAGUGGUGUGUUCUCCUGCUGCACACAUAUAGCUCCCAUUAGCAUUAAUGGGAAAUAUAUGUGCCUAUCAAGAAGAAAAUAUACUCCAUUAAAUUCCCAACCAUCAUGUCAGUUUCUGACGUCUUCUAAUAAGAUCUAUGCUCAUACUGCAAAAAAAAAAUGAAUAACUCUGCUCAUAUAUACUGGGUUUCAUAGGUAGAUCUCAAAGGAUUUUAUGAAGAAUAAGUCCAUGCAACUCAAAGAUACCUGUGAGGAAACUGGAACUUCAGUUAUGCCUGUGGAAAUCAGUGCCUGGCAGGCAUACCCCAAAAAUCCCUGCAACAGAUACGGAAAGCAAAAGAGCAUAGAAGUCAACACAGAAGUAUAUUUAAAAUUUCCAGAACUGCCUCAGAGGUAAGUGGUAUCUAAAUAUUUU
rnacentral:lncRNA from 1 species